UACGUAGGGGGCGAGCGUUGUCCGGAUUUACUGGGCGUAAAGCGCGUGUAGGCGGGAGAUUAAGUUGGGUGUGAAAGCCCGGGGCUCAACCCCGGGAUGCCGCCCAAGACUGGUCUCCUUGAGGACGGAAGAGGGGAGUGGAAUUCCUGGUGUAGCGGUGAAAUGCGUAGAGAUCAGGAAGAACACCCGUGGCGAAGGCGGCUCCCUGGUCCGUUUCUGACGCUGAGACGCGAAAGCGCGGGGAGCGAACGGG
rnacentral:rRNA from 1 species